UAGUCAUAUGCUUGUCUCAAAGAUUAAGCCAUGCAUGUCUAAGUAUAAGCACUUAUACCGUGAAACUGCGAAUGGCUCAUUAAAUCAGUUAUAGUUUAUUUGAUAGUACCUUACUACAUGGAUAACCGUGGUAAUUCUAGAGCUAAUACAUGCGAACAAUCCCGACUUCUCGGAAGGGAUGUAUUUAUUAGAUACAAAACCAAUCGGGCUUGCCCGUUCCUUGGUGAUUCAUAAUAACUUUACGAAUCGUAUGACUUACGUCGACGAUGGUUCAUUC
rnacentral:rRNA from 1 species